UACGGAGGGAGCUAGCGUUGUUCGGAAUUACUGGGCGUAAAGCGCACGUAGGCGGCUUUUUAAGUCAGAGGUGAAAUCCCGGGGCUCAACCCCGGAACUGCCUUUGAAACUGGGAAGCUAGAAUCUUGGAGAGGCGAGUGGAAUUCCGAGUGUAGAGGUGAAAUUCGUAGAUAUUCGGAAGAACACCAGUGGCGAAGGCGACUCGCUGGACAUGUAUUGACGCUGAGGUGCGAAAGCGUGGGGAGCAAACAGGAUUAGAUACCCCCGUAGUCC
rnacentral:rRNA from 1 species